rnacentral:rRNA from 1 species
AUGCUCGAGGAGGCCCAGUCCGACUCGCCGGUUUCAUUCUACUCGCAUCUUGAUUCUAGCGAAGCAAGCGACAGCGAGGCAGCUCUACAUGACAAAGGGAGGUCAGCAAAGAUUAUGCCUAUUGAUGCAGAUUUCUUGUCAAGUAAACUCCAUGAAAGAUCAUGCCACAACAAGAGUCUAACAUGGUGCACUUCUCCUGAGAAUGCAAUGAUAUAUGCUCCUGAAUCUCCACUUUACACUGUCGAUGACGCUGAGAUGCAACCAAACAACUUGCAAUUAAGCAGAUCACAAGGCUCACCGAACAAUCUGUCAACUUCAGUCUUCGAUCUGCACAAUGCAGACUCAUACGCUGUGUCCAACUAUUUUAACAAGGAUGACAUUUCUCCACAAUGCACACCCAGACAUGAUCUCAGGUGCUUCAGCAACUUCUCAACCAAAUUCAUCAAGAGAAGUGCUCUAUCCGACCUAGUGUCUCGAGGAAGCAUGAGUAGGAAAUUCAAACCUUUCUCAAACAGUGAUGACUGGAGCGAUGCUAGCUCGCGCAGCGGGAACAACAGUCAGGUUGAUUUUCUUGAAAGAUUCGAGAAGGCGGUAUCAAAACUAUUGGUUUCUGACGGGCUAGAAAGCUGCCUAGAUGCCAGCUCAGAAGUCACAACUAUAUGGCAGCUGCUGAGCCAUACAUCUGAAGUGAGACACAAACCGUCAGUAAGGCAAGACAUCCUUGAACAACUGUUUGAUAGCAUUUCAACAGACAAGAAGGAUAAAGUGAUCAGAGCAUCAGUCUAUGUUCUAGUGCUUAUGAUAUCUGAAGAUAGGAAUGUAAUGAGAGACAUCAAGAAGAAAGACUACUAUUUAUCCAAUUUAGCCACUGUGUUGAAGAGAGAUGUGCAUGAAGCGGUCAUUCUGAUAUAUUUAUUGGAUCCUUCACCUUCUGAGAUAAAAAAUUUGGAGCUGUUACCUUCACUUUUACACGUGGCCUGUAAUACUGCCACCCAAAAAUGGCCUACACUGCUUCCACUGACGCCAACAUCCGCAUCAAUAGCUCUCAUUGAGAUCUUGGUGACAGCAUUUGACUAUGUAACGAAUAAUGUUCACUUGGCCACAAUCAGCUCUCCUCCUAUUCUCUCUAAGCUUGUUGAUGUUGCAAAGAACAACAACUUGGAAGAAGGCAUGGCCCUGGCAGCUAUUCUCGUCAGGUGUGUGCGACUUAGCGGAAACUGUAAGAAGUUUCUGUCACAGGCUACUCCAGUGGAACCUUUCCUUCACCUUCUCAGAAGGAAAGAACAGCGUGUCAAGUACGCUGCGCUUGAAUACUUCCAUGAGAUUCUUCAGAUUCCUCGGUCCUCUGCAAUUUCUUUGCUACAAAAAAUAUGGCAGCUAGGAGGUAUUGCUAUUAUGCAUACAUUGGUGGCCUGCCUCCAUCAAACUGAACCUGAGCAACGGGUUUUAGCGGCUAAUCUUCUCCUUCAAUUGGAUAUGCUGGAAAAUCCAGAUGGAAGGAGUGUCUUCAAAGACGAAGCAGUGGAGGUCCUACUGGAAUCUCUAUCAUCUCAAGAAAAUUUCACUGCGCAAGCACUAGCAGCGUCUUUUCUGUCAAAUCUUGGAGGGACUCAUUCCUGGUCAGGAGAAUCCUACACUGCUGCAUGGCUAUCAAAGAAAGCAGGCCUCACCUCAAAAUCUCAUAGAAAUAUGAUCAGAAACAUCGACUGGCAGGAUGCUUGCCUUCAGGAUACAGAAAUAAGCUCAUGGAGCAACAAAUUUGCACGAGCAAUUAUAGGAAUAGGAGUGCCCUUUAUCAGUGCACUAGCCAAAGGAUUGCAAAGCAAGGUGAAGGGAACCUCACACGACUGCCUAGUAUGCGCCGCAUGGCUUGCAAGUGAGCUGGCUUCCCUUGGUGAAAAUGAUAUAAGAUGUUAUGCUUGUGAGAUCUUGUUACUUGACAUAGUGCACCACCUUCAUCCGGGAUGCGAGCUUGAUGAAAGGGUUCUAGCGUGCAUGUGUGUAUAUAACUACACCUCUGGAAAAGGUAAGCAAAAGUUGAUGAGCUUGUCAGAGGGUUCGCGAGAAUCCCUUAGGAGGCUUUCAUCAUUCACAUGGAUGGCUGAGGAGUUACUUCAAGUUACAGAUUACUACCUCCCUAGGAAACCACGUGUAUCAUGUGUACAUACACAAAUCCUAGAGAUUGGUCAACCUGGCAAUGGAGCAGUAACUGCUAUAACAUUCUUUAGAGGGCAGCUCUUUGUUGGUUACUUCAAUGGCACCAUCAGGGCAUGGGAUAUAAAAGGCCAGAGAGCAGUAAUCAUCAGAGAGGUUAAAGAGCACAAGAAAGCAGUCACGUGUUUUGCACUAUCAGAAACUGGACAAAAUCUCUUGAGCGGAUCAGCUGACAAAUCUAUUCGGGUAUGGAAAAUGGCACAGCGCAAGCUUGAGUGUGUCGAGGUAUUUCAAAUAAAAGAGGCUGUGCAGAAGUUUGAUAUUUACGGUGACAAAAUUAUUGUACUAACACAUAAAAACGUUCUGAAGUUCUCUUGUUCAGCAAGAAGCACCCAGACAUUUUACAAGAGCAAGCAUGUAAAAUCCCUAGCUCUUUCUCAGGGCAAAGCUUACCUCGGCUGCGGAGACUUGAGUAUACAGGAAUUAGAUGUAUCAGUAGAAUCGAAGAUUGAAAUAAGAGCGCCUACAAGAAGCUGGAGAAUCAGUAAGCAACCAAUUAACUCCAUAGUAGUAUAUAAAGAUUGGAUGUACUGUGCUGGUUCUCAAGUGGAAGGAUCUGCCAUGAAGGAUUGGAAAAAGCGAUGCAAGCCUACGAUGACAAUGUCAAUGCCAAAGGGAACAAAUGUAGAGGCAAUGGCAGUGGUGGAGGACUUCAUCUACCUGACCUGCAAUAAAAGCCCAAGUGUCAUUCAGAUAUGGUUGAGAGAGAAGCAGCAGAAAGUUGGAAGGCUGCCUGCAGGGAGCAAGAUAACGAGCCUCUUCACUGCAAAUGACAUCAUUUUCUGUGGAACUGAAACCGGGUUAAUCAAGGCAUGGAUCCCUUUGUGA